GUCCACGCCGUAACGAUGUUCACUAGGUAUUGGGAGAAUUGACCCUUUCAGUGCCGACGCUAACGCAUUAAGUGAACCGCCUGGGGAGUACGGUCGCAAGACUAAACUCAAAGGAAUUGACGGGGCCCGCACAAGCGGUGGAGUAUGUGGUUUAAUUCGACGCAACGCGAAGAACCUUACCUGGGUUAGACAUCAAGUGGAAGUUCCGCCCAAAAGUGGAACGUCCCCGCAAGGGGACUGCUUGACAGGUGCUGCAUGGCUGUCGU
rnacentral:rRNA from 1 species